GAACACUGAUUAACAGUUGGUCAGAGCAAACGGCUCAUAACCGUCCGGUCGUAGGUUGAGUCCUACAGGGUACA
rnacentral:tRNA from 1 species